rnacentral:rRNA from 1 species
ACACAUGCAAGUCGAGCGGUAACAGAUCUAGCUUGCUGGAUGCUGACGAGCGGCGGACGGGUGAGUAAUGCAUAGGAAUCUGCCCGAUAGUGGGGGAUAACCUGGGGAAACCCAGGCUAAUACCGCAUACGUCCUACGGGAGAAAGGGGGCUCCGGCUCCCGCUAUGGGAUGAGCCUAUGUCGGAUUAGCUAGUUGGUGAGGUAACGGCUCACCAAGGCCACGAUCCGUAGCUGGUCUGAGAGGAUGAUCAGCCACAUCGGGACUGAGACACGGCCCGAACUCCUACGGGAGGCAGCAGUGGGGAAUAUUGGACAAUGGGGGAAACCCUGAUCCAGCCAUGCCGCGUGUGUGAAGAAGGCCCUCGGGUUGUAAAGCACUUUCAGCGAGGAAGAACGCCUAGCGGUUAAUACCCGCUAGGAAAGACAUCACUCGCAGAAGAAGCACCGGCUAACUCCGUGCCAGCAGCCGCGGUAAUACGGAGGGUGCAAGCGUUAAUCGGAAUUACUGGGCGUAAAGCGCGCGUAGGUGGCUUGAUAAGCCGGUUGUGAAAGCCCCGGGCUCAACCUGGGAACGGCAUCCGGAACUGUCAAGCUAGAGUGCAGGAGAGGAAGGUAGAAUUCCCGGUGUAGCGGUGAAAUGCGUAGAGAUCGGGAGGAAUACCAGUGGCGAAGGCGGCCUUCUGGACUGACACUGACACUGAGGUGCGAAAGCGUGGGUAGCAAACAGGAUUAGAUACCCUGGUAGUCCACGCCGUAAACGAUGUCGACCAGCCGUUGGGUGCCUAGCGCACUUUGUGGCG